GAUGAACGCUAGCGGCAGGCCUAACACAUGCAAGUCGAGGGGUAGCAGGAUUAAGCUUGCUUAAUUGCUGACGACCGGCGCACGGGUGCGUAACGCGUAUGCAACCUACCUUAUACUGGGGUAUAGCCCGGAGAAAUUCGGAUUAAUCCCCCAUAGUACUAAUGAAUCGCAUGGUUUAUUAGUUAAAGCAUUGCGGUAUAAGAUGGGCAUGCGUCCUAUUAGCUAGAUGGGGAGGUAACGGCUCACCAUGGCUACGAUAGGUAGGGGGCCUGAGAGGGCGGUCCCCCACACUGGAACUGAGACACGGACCAGACUCCUACGGGAGGCAGCAGUGAGGAAUAUUGGUCAAUGGGCGCAAGCCUGAACCAGCCAUGCCGCGUGCAGGAAGAAUGCCCUAUGGGUUGUAAACUGCUUUUAUUUGGGAAUAAACCUCUUUACGUGUAGAGAGCUGAAGGUACCAAAUGAAUAAGGAUCGGCUAACUUCGUGCCAGCAGCCGCGGUAA
rnacentral:rRNA from 1 species